rnacentral:rRNA from 1 species
AGAGUUUGAUCAUGGCUCAGAAUCAACGCUGGCGGCGUGCCUCAGACAUGCAAGUCGAACGCGAAAGUCCCCUUCGGGGGACCAGUAGAGUGGCGCACGGGUGAGUAACACGUAGGUAAUCUACCUUCGGGUGGGGAAUAACAACCGGAAACGGUUGCUAAUACCGCAUAAUGCAGCGGCACCUAAUGGUGACAGUUGUUAAAGCGGGGGAUCGCAAGACCUCGCGCCUGAAGAGGAGCCUGCGGCGGAUUAGCUAGUUGGCAGGGUAACGGCCUACCAAGGCGACGAUCCGUAGCCGGCCUGAGAGGGCGGUCGGCCACACUGACACUGACAUACGGGUCAGACUCCUACGGGAGGCAGCAGUCGGGAAUUUUGGGCAAUGGGCGAAAGCCUGACCCAGCAACGCCGCGUGAAGGAUGAAAUCCCUCGGGAUGUAAACUUCGCAAGAACGGGGAGAAUAAGCCGGUGUUAACAUCACCGGCGAUGACGGUACCGUUUGUAAGCUCCGGCUAACUCCGUGCCAGCAGCCGCGGUAAUACGGGGGGAGCAAGCGUUGUUCGGAUUUACUGGGCGUAAAGGGCGCGUAGGCGGCCACCGCAAGUCAAUUGUGAAAUCUCCGGGCUUAACUCGGAAAGGUCAACUGAUACUGCGGGGCUAGAGUGCGGAAGGGGCAACUGGAAUUCUCGGUGUAGCGGUGAAAUGCGUAGAUAUCGAGAGGAACACCUGCGGCGAAGGCGGGUUGCUGGGCCGACACUGACGCUGAGGCGCGAAAGCUAGGGGAGCGAACGGGAUUAGAUACCCCGGUAGUCCUAGCCUUAAACGAUGAAUGCUUGGUGUCUGGGGUUAUAAAGUCCCCGGGUGCCGUCGCUAACGCUUUAAGCAUUCCGCCUGGGGAGUACGGUCGCAAGACUGAAACUCAAAUGAAUUGACGG